rnacentral:lncRNA from 1 species
AAAAAAAAAAACCCUACUCUUUGGCCCAUUUUGCAAUACCUUCAUAAUAUCUGAACAACAUGAUCUACUCAGGGCUGAGAAGGAUGCAAGUGAGGUUAGCAGUAGUGAGCUUGGCACUACAACUACGGACAUGCCAAAAUUCAAGACACUAUCGCUGAAUGAUUCACCCUCUGCACCUGAUUCAAUUGGCAGGUAUGACCUUGAUUCCUUUGAAAUAAUGGGGUGGUUGUUAAUAUGUUACUAUCCGCAAAUAUCAGUCCACUUCCAAGGGUUAUAAAUCUAGUUUAUGUUAGCAGACAAUCAUAUGAUAGUCCUAUAUAUUAGUUCAUCCCGUAGCAUGACCAUAUCUUAACUUGGUGGUGAGCUCCUCCUUUGUCCUUCCCCUUUUUGGAGCGCCCCCUGCUCGACACACACACGAACACACAAAAGAA